rnacentral:rRNA from 1 species
UACGUAGGGUGCGAGCGUUAAUCGGAAUUACUGGGCGUAAAGCGUGCGCAGGCGGUUUUGUAAGCCAGAUGUGAAAGCCCCGGGCUCAACCUGGGAAUGGCGAUGGAUACUGGCUCGCUAGAGUGCGGUAGAGGGUGGUGGAAUUCCCGGUGUAGCAGUGAAAUGCGUAGAGAUCGGGAGGAACAUCAGUUGCGAAGGCGGCCACCUGGGCCAGCACUGACACUGAGGUGCGAAAGCGUGGGGAGCAAACAGG